UCCGUAGGUGGAUAAUUAAGUCAGAGGUGAAAUCCUGCAGCUCAACUGUAGAAUUGCCUUUGAUACUGGUUAUCUUGAGUUAUUAUGAAGUAGUUAGAAUAUGUAGUGUAGCGGUGAAAUGCAUAGAUAUUACAUAGAAUACCAAUUGCGAAGGCAGAUUACCAAUAAUCAACUGACACUGAUGGACGAAAGCGUGGGGAGCGAACAGGAUUAGAUACCCUGGUAGUCC
rnacentral:rRNA from 1 species